AUAUAAGUACAUGUUUGGUCUAAAG
rnacentral:piRNA from 1 species